CUGGCGGCGUGCUUAACACAUGCAAGUCGAACGAAGCACCUUAUUCUGAUUUCUUCGGAAUGAAAAAUUUGGUGACUGAGUGGCGGACGGGUGAGUAACGCGUGGGUAACCUGCCUCAUACAGGGGGAUAACAGUUAGAAAUGACUGCUAAUACCGCAUAAGACCACGGCACCGCAUGGUGCAGGGGUAAAAACUCCGGUGGUAUGAGAUGGACCCGCGUCUGAUUAGGUAGUUGGUGGGGUAACGGCCUACCAAGCCGACGAUCAGUAGCCGACCUGAGAGGGUGACCGGCCACAUUGGGACUGAGACACGGCCCAAACUCCUACGGGAGGCAGCAGUGGGGAAUAUUGCACAAUGGGGGAAACCCUGAUGCAGCGACGCCGCGUGAGCGAUGAAGUAUUUCGGUAUGUAAAGCUCUAUCAGCAGGGAAGAAAAUGACGGUACCUGACUAAGAAGCACCGGCUAAAUACGUGCCAGCAGCCGCGGUAAUACGUAUGGUGCAAGCGUUAUCCGGAUUUACUGGGUGUAAAGGGAGCGUAGACGGAGUGGCAAGUCUGAUGUGAAAACCCGGGGCUCAACCCCGGGACUGCAUUGGAAACUGUCAAUCUAGAGUACCGGAGAGGUAAGCGGAAUUCCUAGUGUAGCGGUGAAAUGCGUAGAUAUUAGGAGGAACACCAGUGGCGAAGGCGGCUUACUGGACGGUAACUGACGUUGAGGCUCGAAAGCGUGGGGAGCAAGCAGG
rnacentral:rRNA from 1 species